GCUACGGGAGGCAGCAGUGAGGAAUAUUGGUCAAUGGGCGCGAGCCUGAACCAGCCAAGUAGCGUGAGGGAUGACUGCACUGCGGAUUGUAAACUUCUUUUAUCAAGGAAUAAAGUUAGGCACGUGUACCUUUUUGGAUGUACUUUAAGAAUAAGGAUCGGCUAACUCCGUGCCAGCAGCCGCGGUAAUACGGAGGAUCCGAGCGUUAUCCGGAUUUAUUGGGGUUAAAGGUAGCGUAGAUGGGUUGUUAAGUCAGUUGUGAAAGUUUGCGGGUCAACCUUAAAAUUGCAAUUGAUACUGGCAGUCUUGAGUACAGGUGAGGUAGGCGGAAUUCGUGGUGUAGCGGUGAAAUGCGUAGAUAUCACGAAGAACUCCGAUUGCGAAGGCAGCCUACCAAACUUCCACUGACAUUGAUGCUCGAAAGUGUGGGGAUCAAACAGGAUUAGAUACCCUUGUAGUC
rnacentral:rRNA from 1 species